AUUUUCAUAGUUUAAGAAAAAACAUUACACUGAAAAUGUAAAAAUAAUUAUUUUGAAAAUA
rnacentral:tRNA from 1 species